rnacentral:lncRNA from 12 species
GUAACCAAGACAGUUCUGCAGCAUUGUUCAUUUCUGCUGGGUAUUCACAGUAGAACUUAUACUUGUAACUUUUAUUAUUGUAAAUGUUGUGUAUGUAUUGAUUAAUUUUUCCCUACAGCUCCACAUUUUAAAAAUAUGUAUUUUGGGCCAAAUUUCAAGUUACAAUUUUUUCCUUCAGUUGCAUAUGAAAAGUCUUCAUUUGGAAGUUUGAUAAACAACAAAUCCUUCAAAUAGAACAGACUGCAACUCUGCUCUGCCUGGAAAUUACACAUGCAAGGCUUGUCUCUGACUGGAUGCAUGCCAGAUUGUCCUUUGGGAUAUAGCCCAGUGAGAAGGAGAAAUGGGUUUGAACUUGGCAAAAUGGCAAUAAACAUAAAGGAAGAAACUGGAAAGCUGCUUCAUCAGUGCAAAUCCAUACUGUGGUUGGUCUCAUGAAAAGGAUCAUACUGAUGAAUUAGUGCAUCUACCCUCCCAGCCAUGGAAGAAUACUUCAUACAAAAAAAAUCCAUAGCUGACUAACAGGUGUGGUAAGCAGCCUGUGAGACUUGGGAGAAACAUUCUGGUAUACCUGGAAAUCAAUCUAAAUUACCUGCCAUUGUGGAUAUUUUAGACUUAAUUCAUGCUUUCCCACCACAAUUCAGAACACGUCCUUUAUCUGAACAGCUUUGCUUUCUUGUUUGUUUGUUUUUUAUGUUUGUCAGUCAUUACACGGUGCUAUUUAGAAUCAAUUUAGCACCCUUCCAUGUGUUAAGUGGUUGUGGUGAGUGAUGAUUGCAGGAUUCGCCUGCUAGUAAUUAAAUGUUGCUGCCUCUUAGCUUGAAAAUGAAACAUCUCUGUGGAAUUUAAGAGUUUUUUACUUUAUUUAGGUUGGGUGUUUCUAAAUAGUAUGGGUAGGUUUACCAAGUCAGUGCAGGCACAGUAGAAUCAUAAAAAAAAAAAAAAAAAAAAAAAAAAAAAAAAAAAACCCCCCCCCCCCCCCCCCCCCCCCCCCCCCCCCCCCCCCCCCCCCCCCCCCCCCCCC